GCCGUGGAGCUUCUCGUGAAGGGUCCCGUUGGGGACGUACUCCAGCACCAGAACUCCCUCCUCUGAGAGAUUCACAAGACAUAGGAAAGGAUUUCAGAAGGUCGGCGAAGAAGACGAUCCUAACGAAUUAGGGCAGAGAGGACGGGGGAGGGGAGGAGGGAGAUUUGGCGGGAGAUUGGAGAUGCGGAGAAUUGGGGGAAUUUUUGGAUCGGGAGGUUUAUUAGGUUUACCUCUAUCGUCGCAGUAGCCGAGGAGGCGGACGAUGUGGGGGUGGCGGAGGCGGAGGAGAACUUCGAGCUCCUGGCGGAAGGCGCGAUGGAGGCGCUCGCUGCCGCUGCCGCUGCUGUGGAC
rnacentral:lncRNA from 1 species